UAGUUUUGUCCCAAGUUAAUUUUCUCUAACUUUGACUAAGUUUAUAAAAAAAACAUAUUAACAUCUAUAAUAACAAAUAAAUGUACUAUCAAUAAAUAUUUCAUGUUGGAUUUAAUGAAACUAAUUUGAUGUUGUAGAUGCUAGUGCAUUUUUCUAUAAACUUGGUCAAAGAGAAGUUUGACUUGGGACAACUAAAA
rnacentral:pre_miRNA from 1 species